rnacentral:rRNA from 1 species
GACGAACGCUGGCGGCGUGCCUAAUACAUGCAAGUAGAACGCUGAAGGAGGAGCUUGCUCUUCUGGAUGAGUUGCGAACGGGUGAGUAACGCGUAGGUAACCUGCCUGGUAGCGGGGGAUAACUAUUGGAAACGAUAGCUAAUACCGCAUAACAGUAGAUGUUGCAUGACAUUUGCUUAAAAGGUGCAAUUGCACCACUACCAGAUGGACCUGCGUUGUAUUAGCUAGUUGGUGGGGUAACGGCUCACCAAGGCGACGAUACAUAGCCGACCUGAGAGGGUGAUGGGCCACACUGGGACUGAGACACGGCCCAGACUCCUACGGGAGGCAGCAGUAGGGAAUCUUCGGCAAGGGACGGAAGUCUGACCGAGCAACGCCGCGUGAGUGAAGAAGGGUUUCGGAUCGUAAAGCUCUGUUGUAAGAGAAGAACGAGUGUGAGAGUGGAAAGUUCACACUGUGACGGUAUCUUACCAGAAAGGGACGGCUAACUACGUG